rnacentral:rRNA from 1 species
AGCGAACGCUGGCGGCAGGCCUAACACAUGCAAGUUGAACGGAUCCUUCGGGAUUAGUGGCGGACGGGUGAGUAACACGUGGGAACGUGCCCUUUGGUUCGGAACAACUCAGGGAAACUUGAGCUAAUACCGGAUGUGCCCUUCGGGGGAAAGAUUUAUCGCCAUUGGAGCGGCCCGCGUCUGAUUAGCUAGUUGGUGGGGUAAAGGCCCACCAAGGCGACGAUCAGUAGCUGGUCUGAGAGGAUGAUCAGCCACAUUGGGACUGAGACACGGCCCAAACUCCUACGGGAGGCAGCAGUGGGGAAUUUUGCGCAAUGGGCGAAAGCCUGACGCAGCCAUGCCGCGUGAAUGAUGAAGGUCUUAGGAUUGUAAAAUUCUUUCACCGGGGACGAUAAUGACGGUACCCGGAGAAGAAGCCCCGGCUAACUUCGUGCCAGCCGCCGCCGUAAGAC